rnacentral:sRNA from 1 species
AUCGCUUCUCAGCCUUUUGGCUAAGAUCAAGUGUAGAACAUGUAUGGAGAAUUUUUAAAACUAUUCAUAUUAAUCAAAAAAAUAU